rnacentral:rRNA from 1 species
UACGUAGGGGGCUAGCGUUGUCCGGAAUCAUUGGGCGUAAAGCGCGUGUAGGCGGCCCGGUAAGUCCGCUGUGAAAGUCGGGGGCUCAACCCUCGGAUGCCGGUGGAUACUGUCGGGCUCGAGUACGGAAGAGGCGAGUGGAAUUCCUGGUGUAGCGGUGAAAUGCGCAGAUAUCAGGAGGAACACCAAUUGCGAAGGCGGCAUCCUGGACCAACACUGACGCUGAGGAGCGAAAGCCAGGGGAGCAAACGGG